GCCAGGCGCGGUGGCUCACGCCUGUAAUCUCAGCAUUUUGGGAGGCUGAGGUGGGGGGAUCACCUGAGGUCAGGAGUUCAAGACCAGCCUGGCCAACAUGGUGAAACCCCAUCUCUA
ensembl:misc_RNA Metazoa_SRP Metazoan signal recognition particle RNA